CCUAAGCCUAAGCCAAUGCCUACACUUAAGCCUAAACCAAAACUUACGCCUAAGCCUGAAUCUAAGUCUGAGCCUAAUCUUAAGCCUAAGACUAAGGCCUAGGUCUAAGCAUAAGCCAUGGCCUACGCAUAAGCCUAAACCUAUGGCUUAGCCUAAGCCUAACCCUAAGCCUCGACCUAAGCCUAAGCCUAAGCCUAAA
ensembl:ncRNA W07G1.14 ncRNA